GCACCACAAGAACGCGUGGAGCAUGUGGCUUAAUUUGACUCAACGCGGGAAAUCUUACCGGGUCCGGACACACUGAGGAUUGACAGGCAAUAUCUUGGCUGUUUAAUAACCGUUUAUUAAUAAACGGUUUAUUAAACAGAUCGAGUGUUAAAUAUGCUAGUCCUUUCAUGAUUAUGUGAUAGGUGGUGCAUGGCCGUUCUUAGUUCGUGGAGUGAUCUGUCUGCUUAAUUGCGUUUCACUAAGGGCCCAUAAAUUCAAGGUAUGUUAGCAAUCGUCGCUCUAUGGACCCCUUAUUUCAGUUUAUUAAUAAACUGUUAUAAGCGCGCGUCUUGUUUAAAGAGUUUAAGACACUGCGCAUGCUGUUGGGCUCUGAAAGCAACGAACGUGACCGCAACGUCUUGUUGCCUUAAUCAAGUCGGCUGUUUAAUCUGUUUAAUUAAACAGACAGACAGCAGUCAUUAUGGCUUAUCCGAGGCUAUUUAAAACUAGACGAACCGCUGUUUCUUUUCUUAAACCAGAGGAAGGUUGCGGCAAUAACAGGUCUGUGAUG
rnacentral:rRNA from 1 species